AAGGAAGUGACAGAGCGGUAAUGUGGUUGGCUUGAAACCAAUUUACGGGGGUUCGAUUCCUCCCUUUCUCG
rnacentral:tRNA from 1 species